rnacentral:rRNA from 1 species
UACGUAGGGUGCGAGCGUUGUCCGGAAUUAUUGGGCGUAAAGAGCUCGUAGGCGGUUUGUCGCGUCGACUGUGAAAACCCGAGGCUUAACCUCGGGCCUGCAGUCGAUACGGGCAGACUAGAGUUCGGUAGGGGAGACUGGAAUUCCUGGUGUAGCGGUGAAAUGCGUAGAUAUCGGAAGGAACACCAGUGGCGAAAGCGGCUUACUAUGCGAUGAUUGACGCUGAGGCACGAAAGCGUGGGGAGCAAACAGG